rnacentral:misc_RNA from 1 species
UACAGAGGGUGCGAGCGUUAAUCGGAUUUACUGGGCGUAAAGCGUGCGUAGGCGGCUUUUUAAGUCGGAUGUGAAAUCCCCGAGCUUAACUUGGGAAUUGCAUCCGAAACUGGCAGGCUAGAGUAUGGUAGAGGGGUGUGGAAUUUCCUGUGUAGCGGUGAAAUGCGUAGAGAUCGGGAGGAAUACCAGUGGCGAAGGCGGCCUUCUGGACUGACACUGACGCUGAGGUGCGAAAGCGUGGGGAGCAAACAGG